UAGCGUUAACGUUUCUGAGGCUGAAGGAGAAAUGACUUAUAGGGGAGAGAAACAUGUACUUGGAAAGAAUUGACCCAGCUGAAUUGGAAAAUGUGGGAAAGGGAUGGGGAAGAGGCUGCUCCACCUGAGAUCCGGCUCCAGGACUUACAGCAAGGGGAACUUGGGCAAGUUACAGACUCUCUAUGUCUCAGUUUCUUCAUCAGCAAAACAGAACGAAUCAUCCCAUAAACUGUAAGGUCGAUGGUAUCAGCGGGUCCCCAAACUGACUGCACAUCUGAGUCAUGUUAACAAACACAUUCCAGGCCUCACCUGGGCCCUCUGAAUCAGAAUCCCUGCAAGGAGGACGAUGAACUUGUAUUUGCACUGACUUUCCCAGCUGUUUCUUACUCUGAUCAACUUGGGGGUAGGACCCAUUGAGCUGCAUCACAUCAUUCCAAAGCCAAAACACAACAGCAGGACAAGAAUAUUUUCAAGGCAGUCUCUAAAGCAGAGGAGAAACUGUUGAGGGAACCUAGAAGUAAAGGAGAUCUGGCUUGCUGGGCUCCAUUUGAACUUUGAGUACAAC
rnacentral:lncRNA from 1 species